CGGUUUUACUUGCUUCCCAGGAUAAAGAAGGAAAACCUACAAUUAGUGACAGUCAAGUAAAAUCAUAUAUAAGUGAUUACCUUAAGUCGUCACCAUUUAAAGGAAAGCAUUAUAAGCCGAAAUCAAAGAAAAGAAAAGGAAAAACGUCUGUGUGUGAGUAUCUGAUUUAUGGAGAAAAUGGAUGCAAUCAAUAUGAAGAUGCUUCAACGGAAGAAAUUAACGAAGCUGAUCAUGAUAUCCAAAAUCCGAAGAGAGCUCGAAGAGGUACUCAGCCUGAAGACGAGCAAAGACCAGAUCGAGACACUUUGUUUAUAAACGAGAAGGAUGACAUCUAUUUCGAAGAAUUAUAAUUU